AUUUGAUCCUAUCCACAAGGGUGGAGUACCUCGCCCAGGACCGCACAGCUAGACAAUGGCAAGCUGGGUGCUGGCUCUGGGUUCACAGGCAAUUUGGAGGCAGCUGCCUCUCUAAGGACCCGGGGUGUCACCAUUGUGCAGAGCCUGUUGAACUCAACGCAGGAAAGUGUCCUGGGAGUGAGCGUCCACGUGGCUUAGCUCUUCUGGGAACAAAUGCUGUCAGUUCCCCGACCUGCUGCUGGCUUCCUAUACCUCCCUCCCUGUCCAUGAAGAAUGAUUGUCCUAUGGAAUGGUAGCUCAGAAGUGCUGGAGAUACUAUUCCCUGACUAAUCCUUACCAAGGAACAGAAAUCACUGCAGAAAUACUCUGGCUUCUUCUUCCCCUGGAGAAAUGUCUGAGGAGUGUUCCCCUACAGUCUCUCCAAUGGUUCCAAAAGGGAUUGAGCUUCAGUCAUGCAUGCAAGGACAUGAAUAUCAGCUGAAGAGAAAUAAGACUGGACCAUCUUGUCUCAUUUUUUAUUCAAAAGGAAUACACACAUGCGAGGCCAGCACUAUAGCCCAACAGACUGCAGUAAGCCAGCCAGGCUGGGGGCCUGCCCAACAGGAGCAGCAUUCUGCCAAGGGGAGGGGGAGAGGCCUGGAGGACGGAGGAGGGCCUUCAAGAUUCUAAACUUCAAGUUCAGCCCCAGAGCCCUGCCAGGUGAAUGUGCUCACUGAGUAGCAGAAGACCAGGUUUUCUUCUUCAAACAAAGAUAUCCAGGAGUCUACCUUGAGAAUUCAAAGGGAUAUCCAUGACAAUGUGAGGAGUUCCAUUAGCGAUUCCUGUCCUGAUUUCAGAGCUCUUUGAUGCUUCCAAACCUGAGAGAGAGAAAAAAAAUGGAGAGAAACAUCAGGAAAUCUUUCCUCGGGGGCAUCCUCCACAGGCCUUCAGCUGAGGACACAUUUCUUUACCAGCUAACUGCCCGACCAUGCCCCUACUGCCCCUGGCUCCCUCCCUGCCAUCCGACACUGCUCCACCGUUCCACAGGAGGUUACAGGAAUGCUUGGCAAAGAAUCAUCUGAGCUUCAUCAGUGACAGCUGUGUCUUCUGUCUUUGCCUCAAUCUGGAGAAGAAUACUUCGGGCUGAACAACACAGUGGCCACCAGAGACCCAUUUUUAAAACCCCCUUCCAUUCCUUCUUCAUUCCUACCAGUCAUCAUUUGUGGAUUCGUCUGUCACUGUGGCUUGGAAACUUGGCUCUAGAGAAGAUAGUGGAGGCCCCCCCCCUAAGGAAUCUCCUGACUGUUGGAAGGUGCCAACUAUAACUAUAACUCAUUUUGAAGGAGCCAACAGCUCUGGUGCCAUGACAAACCUGCGUCCCCGAAGCCCCUCUGCAGUUAGAUUGGGUGCUCACCAUUCAGGACACUGUCUCACAAAUGGGGAGCUACCUUGACCCAUAUAGUAUUCUCCCAGUGAUGCUUUGGAAAGAACAGAGCACAAAGGCCAAAUUUCCUGAGAGAGGGUUGGCCUUGCAGGUGAGCACAUGUCCUGGUUGUCCUUUGCCCUUCCUGGCCCUGGCUUGGGUUUGAGAGCAGAGAUUACAGGAUUUUUGUUCUAGACUUAGUUGUUGCAAUGAUGAAGACAGCCCUCCUGCCAAGUCCAGCAAGGUACUUGUAUGCCAAGACCAGCCCAUCCAAGAGCUGGCUUAUGUGCCCAGUGUGCUUGUACGGCACACACCCACCCACAGUGGAGCAGAGUGAAUGGAUAGAAGAUCCACAGGCUAGAUGAGUCAUCACCUCUGUUGCUUACUUGGGGAGAGAAACCACAAACCACCGAGAGGCUUACAUUUCCUUGUUUCAAUCAGGCUGUUCACGUGGCACCUGAAAGGAAGAUUAACUAGAUGCUAAAAUGCACUUCUGGAGUCCAAUUCCAUUGACAGGGAAAGCUUCCAUGUACCCCAAGACUCCAUUGGGAGAAAACAGGCUACAAUUCCAAUUAAACACCAUAUUGAGUA
ensembl:lncRNA